rnacentral:tRNA from 1 species
UCCUUGGCUGUCCAGUGGUUAAGACUCUGCAUUCUCAAUGCCGAGGGCCCAGGUUCAAUCCCUGGUCAGGGAA